UAGCUCAAUUGGUUAGAGUGUUGUGCUGAUAACGCAAAGGUUAUGGGUUCGGAUCCCAU
rfam:Rhizophagus irregularis DAOM 197198w jcf7180003180776, whole genome shotgun sequence.